UACAGAGGGUGCAAACGUUGUUCGGAAUCACUGGGCGUAAAGGGAGCGUAGGCGGGUUUCUAAGUCAGGUGUUUAAUCCCGGGGCCCAACCCCGGACAGGCACUUGAAACUGGGAAUCUUGAAUAGUGGAGAGGUCAGUGGAAUUGGGGGUGUAGCGGUGGAAUGCGUAGAGAUCCCCAAGAACACCAGUUGCGAAGGCGGCUGACUGGACACAUAUUGACGCUGAGGCUCGAAAGCAUGGGGAGCAAACAGG
rnacentral:rRNA from 1 species